GGUUGAUGCAGUCCUCUUCUAAGCAAAUGCCCAGCACAUCAUGGAUCAUGGAUCUUAAAUUUUGCUCUUGGAAAGAAUCAAUUCUGGUACUGGUAGUGCACAAGCACUGAGGGAUGCUGGUUUACGUCGGCAGCUGUGCUGCCUGCUCUACUUGAUCCUAGACCAUGGAGUUUUGGAGUAUUACAGCCACACAUAGGUUGACCCAGGGAUUACACUCAUCUGCUAAUAAACAGUGUAAAUGAUAAAUACGCUACUUGAUGACUUUCUAGUAACAAAAUUAUUGCCAUUUUAACAAAGAAAAACCAGCAGCUUUAGGAAUAUGUAUUAUUUAAGAUAGAGGGUAGCCACUGUAGGCUAAUGAAUAAUAUUACUUCUGUUUUAAAAUACUGAGAUUUUUAUCCUGUGUUUUUAUCCAGUCCUCUGGCCAUGCAUUUAGAACCACUGCCGGACUAGGAAUGUCACAUUAGUGACCAUGUGAGGUGGAUGGUGACUGUGAGGACAGUGUGUGUUCAGGGCAUUGCAACACUGGGCUACAGCCUGAGAACACUGCAGAUUUCCAGCACAGACCUUGAUGCCACUUUUUGGAAGCCUGCUGUGUGCACGUUUCAGAGCCCAGGAGACAGCUGUGAACGCGCAUCCACUGCCACCUAUGGAGUCACCUGCUGCACUUCAUCCCAAAAUAAAACAUCCUGCAGCAUCCUACCAGGGAGCAUCAUCACCGAUGUGUAGGCAGCACUUGCCUGAUUGCCUGUAACUAUUUCUAGUGCUCUGUUUUUCUCUUCAGAUGGGAGAAAAAUCUUGGAGCAGUUUCGGUGGUACAGGACAAGGCACAGGAGUGAGACCGUCCCUCCAGAGCCAUCCCUGCUGGUUACUGAAUAGACACCUGAAGGCAACAUCAUAUGGAUAAUUCUGACCUGCAGUAGAUAGCUACUUGCAAACCUUUUUAUGCUGUUAUUCAUCUCCUGAGCCAUCUGGCCCCUGUUUCUGGAUACCUGCAGAUGGAUUAAUAAACCAAUCUAAUAGAGCUGUACAUAUUAAAUAUACAGGAGAAGCAGCUGUUUGGUGUUUGUUGUGAGCUUUCUAUUUUUCCCUAAUGUUUCAGCCAUUGUAGUUUAAAGUUCUAAGGAACAAUUUUCUUCCUCAUCUACUCACAACACAAAAUAAAUUUAUCUCUCAUAAAAGAAGCCUGUCAUUGAAAAGCAAGUUAUAAUCAGCAUAAAUAUAAUUUUCUCCUUGGAGUAGAAAAUUUAGGUUCAGCCUUUGAACAGCACUGUCAGUUCAUCUUAUUAUAAUAUACCCCCCUGACAGCUCCCAUAUUAAUUGCAGCACAUUGCCUGCAGUGUGUUCACUUGGUUGUUUGUUUACUCUUAACUAAGAAUGAAUUUCAGAAAACUUUACUUCCUUGCACAUACAAGUGAGGUUAGAGGGAAACAAAACCUAUUCUUAAAAGACCUCAAACUGUAGAUUAUUAAUUUUAAUAAUCCAACUAGUGCUCUUUGGGAUAGUGCUCAUAAAUUUCUCGAAGUGGGCCUAUAGAGGUUGAUAUAUAAAACAACAGACAAGAAAUAUGUCUGUACACAAAUAAUGAGAAUAGAAACAUUUUUUUUUCUACCAUUAAAAAACAAAAUAAUAUCCUUAGGGUGCCUCUGAGAAAUAUCUGAGGAAAAAAAAAAAAAAAAGGAAAAGGAAAAAAAACAGCACACCACAUAGCCCCUCGUGAAGCCAGGGUUUUUUCAGCUUGAUUAAAUGGCUGUUUCAACUUUCCUCACCUGGUAGCUACUGAUCUAAUUAUACCAGCAUUCAAAAGACAUUUUAAAGAGAAAAGUGCAGAUGUGGGAUCAAAAAUAUAAAAAAAGAAGAGAAUGGCUAACACCAGCAAUUAAAGGCUACAGAGCUGAAACCCAAGUAUGUUAGUUGCGGUAAUUCAGGGUGGUGGGUGGGAAAUAAAAACUAUCUGUGGCAAAAAAACCCCCAACAAACAAACAAACAAUCUCUACUCCACCCCAAACAAAAGCUAAAAUGCUACCUGAGGCCGGGAGUAGGAGUUUGAAGGUAUUUAAAUAAAAAUUUCCACCCCCACCCCCCCAUAUAAGGUCAGCAGCACUUCUCAAAGAUCACAGAACAUGAACUUGCAGUUUUAAAAACUUGCAGAAGUGUCUCUAAUGGGCCUAUACAAAAAUAAAAAAAGACCCUAAACUGCUCAGAUUGUACAACUUUAUUUUUGACUAAAGCCCAUGAAAGGUCAUAAGGAACUUGUAGAUGAGUUAUGGAGUAAAUAGCAAUAAUUCUACAUAUCCAAGGAGAACUCUGUUAUCAAAACCACUACUGCUCAGGCUUUGAACAUUCCCUACAAAAUUUUCAGGGUGAAAACCAACAGCUAUCUCCAGAGCCACAAGUAUAACACAGAUCUCUUUUGCUCCCUGUAUCUCAGUUCUGAAUUCCUUUUUCUCUUUUUCAAGCACAUUAAAGUUAAAUUAAUCAGAACUCCACACUGUGAUAAUCAGAAGCAUCAUACAGAGAAGAUUAUGGAGGCUCAGCACAAUCCCCUUUGACUUCAGAUGCUGCAGUGCAUAACAGGAAGCCCUGUUACCUGGCCACCACUCCAUGUUCCUCUGAAAACAUGUGCCAGCCCAAUUAGUGAGUUUUCUAAACACCUUUUUAUUCCUCCUUCUUCCCCAGCACGUAUUGGUGUUCCUCAGAAUGAUGUGCUCAAUGUGGUUCCCAUUACUCAUGUAUAUUUUACCUUCUCUGUCCAGUGAGUUCAAAUUGCUACAAACCAUCCUCAUAACUGGUCAGAUUUAUGCCCACCCAAGCAUCAUAUCCAUCUGUUUCAGUGACUGCACUUAAGAGGGUCAAGUUGGAUGUGAGCCAUUAUCCCAGAGGUGGAAAACCAAGGCUUUACACACUAAAUUGAUGGUUAUCUUUGUCUCAAUGCAGUGGACAAAAGGAUACAAGCCAGAGAACAGUAAAAAUUCUUCACUAGAGAUAUGUAGGAGCCUAUUUGGCCAGUGAACUGCACUUUUGACACCUGUCAGUAAUAUACAUGGCCAUCUAGUGAAAUGAGCUUACAUUUUUCUUGGAGAAAGCAUUUCAAACUCACUUCUGAAGUACAAGGAUGAAGUGAAAAAGUAAAACCUGUAGCAUAGUUUGUUGGCAUAUUAAAGAGAUAUGAGUGACAUAAACGACUGCCUCUCUUCUCAGAGACGGGUACAAGGAUGCACCUUUAACUGAACCAUAAAGUUGCUACAAAAUUUGUUUUUCUCAGUCUAAACCAUUGUAGAAUAGUCUGCCCAGUUCUGGGGAAAAAAGAGGCAAAGAAGCAGUUAUGGAUGAAUACUGACAGGAAAGUACCCUCUACUACAUGCAGAUGUGCCUCCCUUACUGCAUGAAACAGGUCCUUAAGCACUUCUUGGUAAUGAAAUAUGGAUUUGUUGUUUCCCAGUUAGGGCAGAAAAGCAUUAUUGCCUCUAAAUUUUAGGGAGAAGUUGUGGGGCUUUGGUAGGUAAUGUGAUUUGUUCAGGCUCAUCAACCAACCAUGGGCUGAACCUCAGAGAGGAGGGGGAUGCUCCUUCCCUCCCAGGCUACUGCACACAGGCUUCUCCAUCACAGCUGCCCCAGUCAACAAGUGUUCUCCAGAAAGAGAAAAGUGAGAGGCCAAAAGGCCACUGGACAAAGAAAUCAAUUGCUUUUCAGCUGUCACAGCUAGACAACUAUUUGGUUUCAUGUUCUUUUUUUCCAUGCAAGUAUGACUUACACGCACUGGCACCCAUUAAUGGCAAUUGAGUUAAGUCAAUUUGUUAUCCAAGUAAUACUCUAGUAAGUGUGUCUUAAAAAUGAAAAUGCAUCCUGCUACUCCAGUGCAACUUUGGAAACCAGCCUGAACUGACUUGCUCCUCCCCAGCAGUGCUGCUAGAGGUGGAUGUAAACACUGCAGAGCAAGGUACAAUUACCUUUCUGUUCUUAGUGAUGCAGGGAAUAUGAGAAAUUUGCAGUGUUUCCAAGGUCAUGCCAGAAAAUUAAGAGCAGUCGGUGCUGGGAUCGGGAACAUUGAGCCAGUGCCUCCUUGAUGUGGCACAUUACAGUAGAAUUUAACAUUUUAUUAAAGUGGAUAUAAUCAGUAUUCCCUGGAUCAAUUUUCCUUUCUACUGGACAUUGCGUAUCAUCCAUUGCUGUUAAAUAUUUCAAAAAAGAUAAGCAGUAUAAUUAAACAUCAUAUUGCAAGUGAAAUAUUGUUGGGGUUCCUCCCCCCUGCCAUGUGGUCCUGGGAGAAGCGCCCUGGGGGGGAGACAUGGAGUUUCCCUAGCCCUGGUCAACCUCGUUCCCCGCUGGUUGUUUUGUGUUCCCCUGCAGGAGCAAGGACCCUCAGGUCCCGUGAUUAUGGCAGUUUUCCUUGGCAUCAUCAGCCAUGCGGCUGGGGAAAUAAACAUCUCUGAAAAUAUCUACCAAGAAUCUGUCCAUAUAUUUCUUUUCCACGGGCCUUGUUGUUUGAUACAUCGUGUUGCAGUACCACCACUGUAACAAAUGGUAGAGAACUGCGAGCAGAACAAUCCCCAAUCCCUAAGGACAGCGACUGAUUUGGGAGUAAACUCCAAAUUCCUCUUCUUGUUUUUGUUUUGCUAUUCCAUCUCUAAACUAUGGAGGAACCGUGAAAAGACUCUUGGCUCUCAGAGCUGCAUAUGGACAUUUAUCUUAAACUUGAAAAGAUUCUUGAACAACGAUUUGUAAAUUUUAGUUUAAUUCAAGCUCAAAAGGAACUGAAACACUUCCUGGCAUGGUUGUUUAAGAACUUUUUCUACAUUUCUUGGGAUUUAAUUCUUACCAAAGACUUUUGGAAGACUGUUUGGACACAGUUAAUUUCUGAGUCAAAAUAUAUGCCGA
rnacentral:lncRNA from 13 species